UGUUAUAAAAGGCCGAGAUCUGGAAAUCUUCAGCCUCACAUUAAGAUUUUAAAGUUGUAUCUGAGCACCUAUAUUUCCAUUACCAGUCCCAAAUAUUCAAAAAUCAUACACCAAGUGCUCUUAAAAUAAUGAGAGAAGUUUCUUGUCAAAUGCAGUUAUUAAGUCUUCUGCUUCACAAGAGUUAAAGACACAAUAGCAUUAUAAUUUCAAGGUUUUGGCUGGUAUAUUAAAAAAUUUUAUAAUUGAUACAUUCUCAUAUAUUUCAACAGCAAGGACUUGAGCAUCGUUUUCAGAAGAUAAAGAUUGUAAGAGCGAGCAACACAAAAUAUGAGGUUUGACUUUCCUGAAUAUACAGAGCAACCCCACUGCUGCUGCUGGAGUCACUGCUGCGUUACGGGAUUGGAGCCUGGCCACAGGUGUGGGAAUCCUGGGAGAGCUGAGCAUCUAGAAAAAUCUCCAUGA
rnacentral:lncRNA from 1 species